CGGAGGCUGUGGGGCAGCGCCAAGGGGUGCUUCUUUCUCCUACGCCAGCUUGGCGAGCUGGGUGCGAAGGUUCGAGUGCUUCGCUUCCGU
rnacentral:tRNA from 1 species